GUGAACGCUGGCGGUAGGCCUAACACAUGCAAGUCGAACGGCAGCACAGUAAGAGCUUGCUCUUACGGGUGGCGAGUGGCGGACGGGUGAGGAAUACAUCGGAAUCUACUUUUUCGUGGGGGAUAACGUAGGGAAACUUACGCUAAUACCGCAUACGACCUACGGGUGAAAGCAGGGGAUCUUCGGACCUUGCGCGAUUGAAUGAGCCGAUGUCGGAUUAGCUAGUUGGCGGGGUAAAGGCCCACCAAGGCGACGAUCCGUAGCUGGUCUGAGAGGAUGAUCAGCCACACUGGAACUGAGACACGGUCCAGACUCCUACGGGAGGCAGCAGUGGGGAAUAUUGCACAAUGGGCGCAAGCCUGAUCCAGCCAUACCGCGUGGGUGAAGAAGGCCUUCGGGUUGUAAAGCCCUUUUGUUGGGAAAGAAAAGCAGCAGGUUAAUACCCCGCUGUUCUGACGGUACCCAAAGAAUAAGCACCGGCUAACUUCGUG
rnacentral:rRNA from 1 species